rnacentral:rRNA from 1 species
GUAACACGUGAGAAACUUGCCCCGGAGUUCGGGAUAACUCGAGGAAACUCGAGCUAAUACCGAAUGCCCUCUUCUGAUCGCAUGGUCGGAUGAGGAAAGAUUUAUCGCUCCGGGAGAGUCUCGCGGCCUAUCAGCUAGUUGGCGGGGUAACGGCCCACCAAGGCAUCGACGGGUAGCUGGUCUGAGAGGACGAUCAGCCACACUGGGACUGAGACACGGCCCAGACUCC